AUGGAGAAAGAAAAUUUUGGUUACACUCGAACUCCAUUGAUAUUAUGAAAGCGUAAGAAAGAAUGGUUAUUUUAUAAAUAUCCAUAAUUGUUGAGGCCGCUAUCUAACUGGUAAAUUGGUAUAGCUAUUACGGAUUAUUUUUUAUCAGAACUGAACGUAGCAUUUCUUUUUUUUUCACGCAGAUUGUCAAAUUGGUCUUGUGGAGGUACGUCAGCUGCAGUUGUAUUUGAAGCAUUUAUUUGUGUUGAUCUCUUUCACUCGUAUUCCAACGCUAAUCGGUCGAUCCCGUUUAUUUCGCCAUACUUCACACAGAUGAAAUAUAAUGGAAUGGUAACAUUUGACAAAAGUGUCAAAUCACAACAAAGGUUGACUUGAAGAGAAUUUGUUUUGAGUGUGGAUUGCAUGAUUUGCAUUUAUUUUUCAGUCAGACAGUUAAUCAAAAAUCAAAUAAAAUGUUUCAGUUUGGAUUCAACAUGUUUCAUGAAAUCAGCAGGCCCUUUAACAUGACCUACAAGUGUUAUUCUGUCUCUAUGCUGCCUGGUAAUGAGAGACAAGAUGUAGAAAGAGGAGGAAAAAUUAUAAUGCCACCAUCAGCCCUGGAACAGCUAACAAGGCUGAAUAUUGAAUACCCGAUGAUAUUUAAGUUGACAAAUAAAAAAACUAAAAGGAUCACACAUUGUGGUGUACUGGAGUUUGUUGCUGAUGAAGGAAGAGUUUAUUUACCACAUUGGAUGAUGACCAAUCUAGUGGUGGAAGAAGGGGCCCUACUUCAAAUAGAGAGUGUGUCACUCCCCGUCGCCACAUUUUCAAAGUUCCAGCCUCUCUCUGAAGACUUCUUAGAUAUAACCAAUCCUAAAGCAGUACUAGAGAACUGUUUACGUAACUUCUCAUGCCUAACAACGGGGGAUGUGAUAGCUAUCAAGUACAAUUCCAAGGUGUACGAGUUGUGUGUGCUGGAGACCAAGCCGGGGAAUGCUGUCAUCAUUAUAGAGUGUGAUAUGAAUGUAGAAUUCGCGCCCCCCGUAGGUUACAAAGAAGAAGAGCGCAUACCUCGCGACGAUGGUGGCGCCGCCACUGGCAUGGACGAAGACCCUUCAAACAUGAUGCCAGAACCCAGCGGCUUCGUGGCAUUCAGUGGAGAAGGCAACCGGCUAGACGGCAAGAAAAAGAAGCUGAUCAGUGAAAGCGAUUCGGAACCCUCGGCUUCUCAGUCUAGACAGCCGUACGUCAGAGGCAUCCCGGACUACGACUACGUGAUAGGCACUCUCAGGUUCAUCAGGAACUCCCGGCCGCCCAGCGCCAAGGAGGAGACGCCCUCAGAACCCUUCACGGCUUUCAAGGGCGAGGGCUUCACGUUGAGAACUGCAAAGUCCAAGAACUGAGUAUAAGUAGUUAAUGUUAGAUUUUUUACUCGCCAUGUUGGAAGUGGGCGGAGCAGUCUUGUCGGUUUUUUUUAUGUGGUAACAUUUCUUUUUUCAAAUUAGGUAAUGCUGGUUACCUUCGAUAACCCGCGCAUUUCAUAACAGAUCUUUUGCGCAGAAAACUCAAUAGCCGAGAAAUCUAUGUCAUUUGUACUGUAAACAAGAUUUGCACCUUAAAAAUUAAUUGGUCAUAUGAAAUUAUUUUUUUUAAAUAAUAACUAUAUAGAUAGAGAACAGAAAACCAUAAUCCAAUUUUUAGGUAUGCCUUUAAAAUUAUUUAUCAGACCCAAAUAAUACUGUACGUACUUAAUUUUACAUGACUCAUUUCAGGGCUCGACUUUCAUUGUCACGUUAUCACUAGAUACGAUAUCGCUGCUUCGCCUACUAAACAACACACAAAAGAUAUCUAGAGUGUUUUAUAAAGUUGUGAUUGUCAAAUUAUUGAGCAUUGGAGCUUGGCGUUCGAAUGUACUUGCAGCAAACAGCAAAAGCUUGCAGAAAUGCUUUUCCCGCACAUUAAUUUAAACAAUUAUAACGUAGAAAAUAUUAAGUGAAAACACUGCACUUUUAUAAAGUUAAUUGUUUGUAAAGUAUAAGAGAUGUUGUCACACAAAUGUAAACCUCGCUCGUGGUUAGCCGCCGAAUACAUAGCCAGUUUAAUGCUUCUCUAAAAAUAUAUUAUCGACAAUGUCCGAUUGUUUUUAGGCAUGCUCAAUCAUUGGGUAAAAGACGCGCAGAUCAUAUGUAAAUUGUUACUAAGCCUUCCUAGUUGCCUAUCACAGCUUCACACGUCACUAUUAUUGGGCAAAAUGACUUCUGAAGAUGCAAAGCAGGAGUUUGUUCUAAUGAGUACCUAUGCUAAAAUUCGGCGGCUAAUUAUAUCUUUUUUCUUCUAUAUUAAUGCUCAUGGAAGCUCCUUUAAAGCCAUGUAUUCACUGGGAAACAAUAUUUCAGAUACACAGUUUCUGAAACAUCACGUAGAUGUUUACAGCAACAAUGUUUCAGAAACUGCCGACCACAUCGUCCACAGAAACAAAAUUAUAUGUUUCUGAAACAAAAUUAUUUGUUUCAGAAACACGUAGAUAUUGUUUCUGAAACAGUGUUUAUAAACAAUUGUUUCUCAGUGAAUACAUGGCUUAAGACAGCUAUGAAAACCUGCAACAAUUAUUCCAUUUUUUUAUAUCAAGUUGAAUAUAGAAUUCAUGAUUGUUAA
rnacentral:misc_RNA from 1 species